rnacentral:rRNA from 2 species
GUGCUUAACACAUGCAAGUCGAACGGAAAGGCCCUUCGGGGUACUCGAGUGGCGAACGGGUGAGUAACACGUGGGUGAUCUGCCCUGCACUCUGGGAUAAGCCUGGGAAACUGGGUCUAAUACCGGAUAGGACCACACACUUCAUGGUGAGUGGUGCAAAGCUUUUGCGGUGUGGGAUGAGCCCGCGGCCUAUCAGCUUGUUGGUGGGGUAAUGGCCCACCAAGGCGACGACGGGUAGCCGGCCUGAGAGGGUGACCGGCCACACUGGGACUGAGAUACGGCCCAGACUCCUACGGGAGGCAGCAGUGGGGAAUAUUGCACAAUGGGCGCAAGCCUGAUGCAGCGACGCCGCGUGAGGGAUGACGGCCUUCGGGUUGUAAACCUCUUUCAGUAGGGACGAAGCGAAAGUGACGGUACCUACAGAAGAAGGACCGGCCAACUACGUGCCAGCAGCCGCGGUAAUACGUAGGGUCCGAGCGUUGUCCGGAAUUACUGGGCGUAAAGAGCUCGUAGGUGGUUUGUCGCGUUGUUCGUGAAAUC